GGUGAGCUUUUACAAAUGGCAGGGUUAGAGCCUGGAAAACCUUGAUACCCAACCAUCAUAGGUUCCCAGGUGAUGCUGAGGCCGCUAGUUCUGGGAGCACUUUUUGAGAAAAGGAGUGAAGAAGUGGUUGGUCCAAAGGGUAAAGAGAUGAGCCAAAGUCCUUAGGUUGAGAGUAACAAGCGCCUGCUGUAAGGAGCCAUAGGGCUAACUGGACCGGAGUGCUGGGCCUCCCAGAGGCGGGCCACACCAGCUUCAGUAACAGCGCAUCUCUCCAUAAAACGCCACCCCUGAGUUAAUGAAAAGAGCACUAAAACAACAGUGGCCCCACAAAGGGUGGAUUCUUUACUGCUGAGUCACCUGGGAAGCCAGUGUAGAAGCCCAGGACUCUCCUGAUCUCUAAGCUUCACUUUCCCAGAGACCCAGCAAGUAUUCAGUUAAUCUGAUCCAAGGAGAUAGAUAGAUUUGAUAAUGCAACCCAAGAGUCACCCAGAUCUGGGUUUGGAACCCCUCCAAGGGCAAUAAACUGCCUGUGAUUUUUAGAGACAUUUCUGGAGGAGCCCGAGGAUAAGCAGGGGAAUGAGAAGAAUCCUGGGCUGUGAACAUUAUUGCUUCCUCAGAAGAAAAGUCAAAAGAUACUCCCUCCAUCCACUCUACUUUCCACUUAGUUAUUCCAACUGCUUUGGAGAUCUUCAGCAGGAAAUCAAAUGCCUAAGCACUUACGUGUGUCAUGCCUACUUGCUACAAUGGACUCGAAAGAAUGUACAAUAAAAACACACGUGGUAGUUAGGGAAAACUGCAAUGAAGAUGAGAAAGAGAUGGCAAACUACAUAGAGAAAAAAGAAAAUUGCUGUUUCACUUCCCAAGAAAGAGAGUUCAUUUAACAGAAGUGAGCUCUGAGCAUCCUGGGAUGGAGGAGCUGUCCCUGUCC
ensembl:lncRNA